UACGUAGGCAGCGAGCGUUGUUCGGAGUUACUGGGCGUAAAGGGUGUGUAGGCGGUUGCUUAAGUUUGGUGUGAAAUCUCCCGGCUCAACCGGGAGGGUGCGCCGAAUACUGAGUGACUAGAGUGCGGGAGAGGAAAGGUGGAAUUCCUGGUGUAGCGGUGAAAUGCGUAGAUAUCAGGAGGAACACCGGUGGUGUAGACGGCUUUCUGGACCGUAACUGACGCUGAGACACGAAAGCGUGGGUAGCAAACAGG
rnacentral:rRNA from 1 species